rnacentral:rRNA from 1 species
UACGGAGGGGGCUAGCGUUGUUCGGAAUCACUGGGCGUAAAGCGCACGUAGGCGGGUCAGCAAGUCAGGGGUGAAAUCCCGGGGCUUAACCUCGGGACUGCCUUUGAAACUGCUGACCUUGAGGUCGAGAGAGGUGAGUGGAAUUCCUAGUGUAGAGGUGAAAUUCGUAGAUAUUAGGUAGAACACCAGUGGCGAAGGCGGCUCACUGGCUCGAUUCUGACGCUGAGGUGCGAAACCGUGGGGAGGACACAGG